UAAAGCAGAAGUGUUCAUGCUCUCUAGCAUUGCUAAACAAUAACUACCUUCACUUGAGAAUUAAGAGAUACAAUGACUUUGAUAAUUCGCCAAUUGGUAAUCUGUGAGUACAAUAAUUAAAGUUUACGCAAUGCAGUCGAAUGCUUCAUUUUGGGUUUCAAUAAUGACGAGGAUGGGACACAGAAGCACGCUGCUGUUUUCAAUUACAAACGUUAUCGAGAACAGUGUUCAAGAGUUGGUCUAUGCAGUUUGUCGUCAAAGUUACAUUUGUGCUGCAUAACAUUUGGGAUGUUAAUGACAGGAGGGUUUGCUUCAGUUGUGAAGGUACAUAAUAAAUUGGACGGCUAUCUCUAUGCGAUCAAAAGAAUUUAUUUGAAUCAGACAAGUGUUCUGUUAAAUCACAAAAUUGCUCGAGAAGAGAAGUUCCUUUCUAGAUUGAAUCAUGAAAAUAUUGUAAGGUAAAAAGAAAUUUACUAUCCAAGUAAAUCAAAAUUUUAUAACAUAAGGGUUGAAAGCGAGGCUCAAUUUAAACGAUACAAAUUGCCUAGCUUGUUAAAAAUUAUCUUUGUAAAAACUAUUAUAAAAAAGUAGAUAAUCCCUUUUUUUCAUGAAGCCCAUGGAUGCUUUUAUUCAUGAUGAGAAAGUUAUAUUUAAGAGGAGGCUCUCGCUCGUCACGAGAGAGUCAUAAGAAAGUUACAUUGUAAAAGAUAACAUGUAAAAAACGUAUAAACAUGUUUAGAGUUGGUUUAAAUUCUAAGUCAAAGAGGCAGAAGUAUUUUGAACCUUUGCAGUAUC